rnacentral:tRNA from 1 species
CGUCGUCUGGGUGUUUAUACAUAUUAGUUUUUCGUGCUUGAGUUAAUCUUUUUGGUUAGACGAUG